UACGGAGGGUGCGAGCGUUGUCCGGAAUCAUUGGGCGUAAAGGGUGCGUAGGCGGCGCGGUAAGUCGGGUGUGAAAUCUCGGAGCUUAACUCCGAAACUGCAUUCGAUACUGCCGUGCUUGAGGACUGGAGAGGAGACUGGAAUUUACGGUGUAGCGGUGAAAUGCGUAGAUAUCGUAAGGAAGACCAGUGGCGAAGGCGGGUCUCUGGACAGUUCCUGACGCUGAGGCACGAAGGCCAGGGGAGCAAACGGG
rnacentral:rRNA from 1 species